CAAGAUUAAUCAACAAUUGCAAGAAUUUAACCAAACCUCAUGUCUUGAAUUAAAAAUAAAUAAUAACGGGUUUCAUCUUCAUUCAAUAUAUGAGAAAAAUUAGCAUAACAUAAAAUUGGAAUUAAAUACAUAAAAUUGGAAAAACAUAACCGAGAAAUUGAUGAAACGCCAUUAAUUCCACAAAUUUGCACGACUUUUGUGCGAGUGUAACCGGUUGUUUUCUUCUCGUUUACUGCAAACUGCUCCAAAUUGUGUGUGUUGUUUAUUUAUAAAAUUCAGCCCAAGCAGCCAGCAAUCUUCUCUCCAAUUUCUAUCAAUUUCGGCUGCCUUUUUGUCUAUAUCAUAAAACCCAGCAACCAACUUGUAUUUUAUUCCAACUCCAAUUCUACCCAAAGCUGCCACUUUUGUUUGUCUUGUAUAUAUGUUAAAUUCCAAGAAUUCCAAGCAACCGACAAUUGUGUAUCGCUGUCUUCUUCUCCCCCAGCUGCGUGAUGUGUAUAUAUAUCUAUUUAUCCCAGUUGGCUUGUGUUCACCUCCAAGCAGCUCUCCAAUUAUCUUCCCAGCCGGUAGUUACCUCCUCUCUCUCCUCUUUUUUCUUUGCGCGUGUGUGUGUAUAUAGAGAGAGAGAGAGAGAGAGAUCCUAUAGCCGCAGCCCCCAACUCUUUCCAGGAAUCCCUAUUCCCAUUAAUUUCAAUUACCCACUCCUAGUCAAUAAGGGGCCCAAUUAGAUUGAUAUUUGCUUUGGGGUCGUCAAUUCUUCCAUGCAAUGAAAGGUUGUCAUU
rnacentral:lncRNA from 1 species